CGAAGAAGGAGGAGGAGGAGAAGAAGAAGAAGAUGAAGAAGAAGGUGGAGGAGGAGAAGUUGGAGGAGAAGACGAAGAAGAAGGUGGAGGAGGAGGAGGAGGAGAAGACGAAGAAGAAGGAGAAGAAGGAGGAGGAAGAGAAGGUGGAGGAGAAGAAGAAGAAGGUGGAGGAGGAAGAGGAGGAGGAAGAGAAAAAGGUGGAGGAGGAAAAGAAGAAGUAGAAGAAGAAGAAGAAGAAGAAGAAGAAGAAGAACAGGGAUUCAAUAGACAGUUAUGUUGGUUUCUUGUAUGUAAAAUUAUUCCUGCUGUACGUGUUUCAAUCUACGUAGAGGACACUCGCCUUAUCGAACGAGAUGCGGCGACUUUAUGCCUCACUUCACACUCGAUAAUUCAUCGCUUUGACUUUGACAACAACAAGCAAACGGUAUGGUCUUUAAACAACAUGGGAAAGACAUGAAAACAACACGUGAAAACAGA